AAGUGAAUUCUAAUAAAAAAUUAUAACUUUCAGUCGUAGAGUUUUGAAGUUUAUAUGCAAGUUUCGAAACUAAGAACAUACCUAGGGGCAGAACCAUGUUCAGCUUGAAGUUGUGCUAAACGAGCUUGUCUUAUAGCUUGCAAUUCUUCAUCCAUUAUGAAUAAGCCUAAUUAUUAAGCAAGAACUGAUGCACAAAUGUUUUUUAAUUGAGACUUGUGUAAUGCUCAAAUUUGUGGUGUUGCAAAGGAUUAACGAUAGAUUUGCGGUACUGCUAUGGAAUAAUAGCAAUUAACAAGCGCUAGCAUAAUCAAUUGUGUCGAGAGGACCAUAUUGGUGAGUAAUACUUUUUUUAACUUUCUUUUUCUAGUAGACAUGUACUUAUUACCCUUAUCUUGACAAAGCAGUCUGCUAUCACGAAGAAACCUGGUCAAAAUCCAGUGUGUGACAGCAACACCUAUUCAUAUAGCAUAAGCGAUUAUUAGACGAUUACUUCCAAAUCAUAGUCAACCCCAAA